rnacentral:rRNA from 1 species
UACGUAGGGGGCAAGCGUUGUCCGGAUUUAUUGGGCGUAAAGAGCGUGUAGGCGGCCAGGUAGGUCUGCUGUGAAAACUCGAGGCUUAACCUCGAACUGUCGGCGGAAACCAUCUGGCUAGAGUCCGGAAGAGGAGAAUGGAAUUCCCGGUGUAGCGGUGAAAUGCGCAGAUAUCGGGAAGAACACCCGUGGCGAAGGCGGUUCUCUGGGACAGUACUGACGCUGAGACGCGAAAGCGUGGGGAGCGAACAGG